UUUCCGUAGAUGAACCUGCGGAAGGAUCAUUAACAAAUCUAACAAUAGUUUUGCUCACAGUGAAAGUCGCUCCCUUCUUGUAAGGGUGUGAUGGAAGCCGUGAUGCAAUACAAUUCACACAUACAGUGAUUGACACAUCAUGAUUACCAAGAAACUCUAAUUGUAAACAACUUUUAACAAUGGAUCUCUUGGCUCUU
rnacentral:misc_RNA from 1 species